UGGGGAAUAUUGCACAAUGGGCGCAAGCCUGAUGCAGCCAUGCCGCGUGUAUGAAGAAGGCCUUCGGGUUGUAAAGUACUUUCAGCGGGGAGGAAGGUGUUGAGGUUAAUAACCUCAGCAAUUGACGUUACCCGCAGAAGAAGCACCGGCUAACUCCGUGCCAGUAGCCGCGGUAAUACGGAGGGUGCAAGCGUUAAUCGGAAUUACUGGGCGUAAAGCGCACGCAGGCGGUCUGUCAAGUCGGAUGUGAAAUCCCCGGGCUCAACCUGGGAACUGCAUUCGAAACUGGCAGGCUAGAGUCUUGUAGAGGGGGGUAGAAUUCCAGGUGUAGCGGUGAAAUGCGUAGAGAUCUGGAGGAAUACCGGUGGCGAAGGCGGCCCCCUGGACAAAGACUGACGCUCAGGUGCGAAAGCGUGGGGAGCAAACA
rnacentral:rRNA from 1 species